rnacentral:rRNA from 1 species
GACGAACGCUGGCGGCGUGCCUAAUACAUGCAAGUUGAGCGCUGAAGGUUGGUACUUGUACCAACUGGAUGAGCAGCGAACGGGUGAGUAACGCGUGGGGAAUCUGCCUUUGAGCGGGGGACAACAUUUGGAAACGAAUGCUAAUACCGCAUAAAAACUUUAAACACAAGUUUUAAGUUUGAAAGAUGCAAUUGCAUCACUCAAAGAUGAUCCCGCGUUUUAUUAGCUAGUUGGUGAGGUAAAGGCUCACCAAGGCGAUGAUACAUAGCCGACCUGAGAGGGUGAUCGGCCACAUUGGGACUGAGACACGGCCCAAACUCCUACGGGAGGCAGCAGUAGGGAAUCUUCGGCAAUGGACGAAAGUCUGACCGAGCAACGCCGCGUGAGUGAAGAAGGUUUUCGGAUCGUAAAACUCUGUUGGUAGAGAAGAACGUUGGUGAGAGUGGAAAGCUCAUCAAGUGACGGUAACUACACAGAAAGGGACGGCUAACUACGUG